rnacentral:tRNA from 1 species
AUUUAGUUAGUUUAAUUUUUAAAACCUUAGAAUGUGGCUCUAAAAAUAAAUAUUACAAUUUACUAAAUU